rnacentral:ncRNA from 2 species
UUACUGAGUUUACGCUCUACAACCCUUUGUGAACAUACCUAUAACUGUUGCUUCGGCGGGUAGGGUCUCCGUGACCCUCCCGGCCUCCCGCCCCCGGGCGGGUCGGCGCCCGCCGGAGGAUAACCAAACUCUGAUUUAACGACGUUUCUUCUGAGUGGUACAAGCAAAUAAUCAAAACUUUUAACAACGGAUCUCUUGGUUCUGGCAUCGAUGAAGAACGCAGCGAAAUGCGAUAAGUAAUGUGAAUUGCAGAAUUCAGUGAAUCAUCGAAUCUUUGAACGCACAUUGCGCCCGCCAGCAUUCUGGCGGGCAUGCCUGUUCGAGCGUCAUUUCAACCCUCAAGCUCUGCUUGGUGUUGGGGCCCUACAGCUGAUGUAGGCCCUCAAAGGUAGUGGCGGACCCUCCCGGAGCCUCCUUUGCGUAGUAACUUUACGUCUCGCACUGGGAUCCGGAGGGACUCUUGCCGUAAAACCCCCAAUUUUCCAAAGGUUGACCUCGGAUCAGGUAGGAAUACCCGCUGAACUUAAGCAUAUCAAUAAGCGGAGGAAAAGAAACCAACAGGGAUUGCCUCAGUAACGGCGAGUGAAGCGGCAACAGCUCAAAUUUGAAAUCUGGCCCUAGGCCCGAGUUGUAAUUUGCAGAGGAUGCUUUUGGUGCGGUGCCUUCCAAGUUCCCUAGAACGGGACGCCAGAGAGGGUGAGAGCCCCGUACAGUUGGACACCAAGCCUUUGUAAAGCUCCUUCGACGAGUCGAGUAGUUUGGGAAUGCUGCUCAAAAUGGGAGGUAUAUUUCUUCUAAAGCUAAAUACCGGCCAGAGACCGAUAGCGCACAAGUAGAGUGAUCGAAAGAUGAAAAGCACUUUGAAAAGAGGGUUAAACAGCACGUGAAAUUGUUAAAAGGGAAGCGCUUGUGACCAGACUUGCGUCCGGUGAAUCACCCAGCUCUCGCGGCUGGGGCACUUCGCCGGCUCAGGCCAGCAUCAGCUCGCUGUCGGGGACAAAAGCUUCAGGAACGUAGCUCUCUUCGGGGAGUGUUAUAGCCUGUUGCAUAAUACCCUUCGGCGGGCUGAGGUACGC